GUGGCUGUAGUUUGGUGAUAAGGAUCCCACGUUGUGGCCGUGGAGAACUUGGGCUCGAAUCCCAGCAGCCACA
rnacentral:tRNA from 1 species